rnacentral:tRNA from 1 species
ACUGUGGCUCAGAGGUAGAGCAUCUGCCUGAUAUGCAGAAAGUCCAAAGUUCAAUCCAUGGUAUCUCCA